ACCUGGGUGGCUCAGUCCGUUGGGCAUCUGACUUUGGCUCAGGUCAUGAUCUCAUAGUUUGUGGGUUCAAGCCCCACAUCAGGCU
rnacentral:tRNA from 1 species